UCUGUGCUCUUCAUCUUCAAGCAAGUCAUUCUAACUCCAGUGCCUCAACUUCCUCAUCUGUUAAAUGGGAGUGAACAAUUGGGUUAGGUGGUUCCUAGAGCCCCUUGCACUCAGACUUUGAGAGUUAUUCCUGCUUCCCUCCCCACCCUGCUCAGCGCUUUCCUGACACCCUGUCAUGACCACAGAGGGUGAGUUAAUCACUGACCUUGUCCAGUAGCCAACUUGGUCACCAAGUGUGCUACCAGACAGCCUCAUGCUGCUGGCCAAAGGGUUGCUGCCCCAUCUUUUCCAGCCUUAGCCUGGCACUCCGAUGCAUGAGGACAUUUAUGGAUAUGCAGAUUCUAAAGUUCGCUGAGUGUUUUCAUGGCCACAACCUCAUCUGAUCAUUAUGGCAACCCUGUGGGGCUUUGAAAUCAUGGCAGCAGCAAGACUCAACUGGGGCAGCAUGAUGUCUGGAUUUGAAUCCCGGUUCAGCCAUUUUCCAGCUGUGUGAUGUGGGGCAAGUCAGGUAGCCUCCCUGGGCCUCAGUUUCCCUAUCUGCAACUGGGGAUGACAAUAGUGCUAUCUUCCUAGGUUUGUUCUGGGGAAUCACUGAAUUAAUAUUUGUUAGGUAUUUGUGCUUUACCUUGCACUAUGUAAGUGUUGGUUAAAUAAACACAUCAUUUCCCUAAUGAUGGCCAGCUAAGGAAUAGGUGGAUGGGGUGGGUCACUAACCCACUAACCCCUGGCUUCAUGCCUCAGCACUUACUCAUUCCCUGGCACUGAACUCUUAUCAUAGACCCAGGAAGUCUCUGACGUUUUGCUCACUUUCUCAGGGUUUAAAUUCCACCCCUACUAUUUACCCUCUGUGGCAUUUUGUCUCCUGAGGCAGGGAUGUCACAGCAGAACACAGAGGUCAGCUCAGGAGAAAGUCUCCCAUCCGGACUUGUCUCUCCUCCACUUCUGCCACAGCAGCCACCUCCAGGGUGGCCUGAAGGGGGAAGAGGUGCCCCAGGUGGCAGGUCUCUUCCCAGUGCCUUAGGUCUUUGCUGUUCUGGAGAGAGGAAGUGGCAGCUUUGCCUGCUGGGCUAGGGACUGAGGUUUUCGUUUGAGCAUGGAAAAGAUUCAUUCAUAGAAACUCACCUGCCUUCCUGAGGCAACGAUCCUGAUCCACUAACCAGCUGCUCUUGCUGGGACUAGGGGAGUACAGGGGGCUUUGCUCACCUUGAAGGGCUGGUGGAAGGGUUCCUUCCCAGCUUCUCCCUUUUCCCCAGGCUCGGAUCCCACCAGGACUGCAACCCUUAGCCCUGUCUGGUCUCCCUUGCCACCCUUGAGGCCACCCUGGAGACUCAGUCAUCCAUUCACCCCAGGUGGGUCCCACACUGCCUUAGCUGCUUCUUCCUGGCCCCAUGGCCCUGUGGUUGCUCUCACGAUGGGUCUGGAAACUGAGGUAGCCUUGUCGCUGGGGCCUGGGGCCUGGAUUCUCGACGCCCAGAAUCCUCCAGCUCUAUUCUGCUCUCAAACAUGGAGCAAGCACCCACUCCGUGCUCUCCUGUGCCUGGCUCUGAUGGAAAGGGCCAGUUGGCCCUGGUCACCAGGGAGCCUCUUGACCAGAGUGCAGUACUCAAAGAAAAGCCAAAGGGCCAUGAGAUGCCUUCCUCCCCUCCCCUCCCUUCCCCUGCCCUCCCCUCCUCUCUGUUCCCCUCUCCUCCCCUCCCUCCCAGAAAUGUUCAUUGGGUCCUGCCUUUGUAGCAGGUGUGGGCUGGGCCCUGACCAUAGAAGAAGACUUCCUUGCCAUGAAGUUCAGAGGGAACCUGGUUGCAGGCCCCAGGCAAGGCUUUCCUUUCUUUGAGUUCUACAGCUCUGCUCACUGAGAGGUUCCAAGCUAGAGGCUGAGUCUCCACCAUCAGAUGGUGGGCUCCCUGAGGGUAGGGCAUGUGCUUUCUGCCGCUCACAGAAUCUUCUGCAUUCAUUGAUUCACUGGUUCAUUCAUUUACAGCACUCAGGGAUGCCUCUGUGGGCCAGGCAUUGUGCCGGGCCUUUGUGAGCUGAUCUGUUUCAGCAGGUGCCACCUAAAUUGGUUUCUGAUGGAUGAGAAGAAGCUAGUUCCGGGAAGAGGGUUCCAGGCAGACAGAACAACUCGUGCAAAGCCAGGAGCCUGAGAGCUAUCAGGGUAGGCUGAGGCAGGAAGGGGCUUUGAAGAUACAGUGACUCACAGGAAAGCAGGGGCCUGUCUGGGGAGCUGAGGAGAAAGAAGUCCUUGAGAAUGAUUGAAGAUUUUACUUCUGUGGCAGGAGAGAAAACCCAGGAGAGUGUCAAGUAUCAUUGCCCAAAGGAAGACAGGAAUUCAGCAUUCUGCGGAAUCCCUGACUCAUCGCUGGGGGUGGAGGGAGGUGGGAGAAGAUUAGGCUGCCUGUGCUUCAUUUCCAGCCUUCCAGGAGGAUGUCAGCUCCCUCCUCGCAGAUUCCUUCCUCCUCUGCCCUCUCAACCUCCCUGCCCUUGCAGGGAAUGAAUCCCAGGACUCUAGCUGUCAUCAAGUUCUCCCUGUUGUCUAAUCCUAGUCUCUCCUGCUGCAUUCUUGCGUGUCCUUGGAGAUUAACCACAAUUUGGGGCCUGCAGCCUCUUUUCCCAGAGGUCCUGGCAAAGGCACUCCCUAGCCUUUACCUGUACCCACUACUGUCCUGGGCCACAGAGGCUGGGUCCAGGGCAUGGGGGUGGUUCCCAGGAGAUAGUUUGAUCCUCAAGCCCAAGGCCAAGCCUCCAUCUUGAUCUCCAGGAUUGCUUGAGGUCUUAAAUCCCACUGGAGAGGUCUAGAGAAGCCAGGAGAAGCCUAGGCUCUCUGUUCCUGUCUCUUUCUUACCAUGACUCUUAUUUAUCUUUUCCCUGUCUCUCUCUCCAUCUCUUUCUCUCUUCUACUCUCUCUCCACAGAUCCCACCCCACCCCACCCCCCACCCCUGACAUCUUUUUCUGGUUCGGUCUUCCCCUCCCCUCUUCUUGCUCUCCUUUUCUUUCUGUCCCUUGCCCUCCCUCCCUCUAGGACUCAGUCUCCAUUCCCAGCCCUAGCCCUCUUUCUUUCUGAUGGCCCCUGGCAGUGCUUGGGAAUGAGAAUGAGGAGGUGGACUUGUGGAGCUGCAGGUGGCCUGGCAAGUGGCAUUGUGCAAGACAGCUCUCUUCCUUGUUAGGGUCGGAGGGGAUUUGGAGGGCCGGCCCUAGUCAGCAGCCUGGCUUUCAUUCCAGGCCUGUUGGAGGAAUUCAUAAUAAGGGGCCUGGCACUGAAGCCCUGGGUGGCUUUAAUUUUCUAGAAGAGAGGCAAUACAGUUGCUUCCCUAAGGGGGAAACCCCAUGUACCCAGCUGAGGGAAAAGUGAAGAGCAUGGAGUAGUUAGGCUUUAAGCCUCCCCUGCAGAGCAUCCACCUCCAGACUGUUGGUGGGACUGAAGGCGAUAUUUUGUCAUGGAGAGGGGACUUGUUGAGAGGCAAGAAACAAAGGAGGAAGGAGACCAGACCCUUCUCUGGCCAGUCAGUAUCUUACCUGGGUACCUGAGCUAGACUGGGUAUGCCUGGCCGCUUUAUGGGCAUCUGAAGGAGUCAGGAGAUGAAAACCUCGGAGUAUGCAGAGGAAAUGAGCUCCUAGAAAAGAGACUAGGACAAUGGAAACAGUCAUUGGUCCUGGGGUGGCAUGAUAGGCCUGGAAAGCCAGGAGGAGUGUUUCCUCCAAAAAGCAGGCAAUGCCUUUUGGGGAGACAAUGAAGCUAUAUUGGCUGUAUUCUGGGGGCUCCUGGGAGUGAGUGGCAGAGAUGCUGUCCCCGGAGGUCAAUAGGCCUGGGGCUCAAGUAGUCUGCUUACACCAGGGAUGGACAGAUGUCAGAGGGCCCUGCAGUCUACACAGUUGUGUGGAGCACCAUGCAGAAGCCAAGGGUCUGCUCCCCAGCCCUUGAAGCCUGGACCUGGGAACUCAGGACUUCCUCCCUCUUGAAGUGGUGGGUGAGCCCUGAAUACCUGAAUGUGACACAGGACAGGGGGAGGGAACUGUGAGAAGAGGAGAGAGUUUAGGAACUUUCUUGGUGGCAGGCCCAAAGUGGGUGACCAAGGGUGCUGGGGGCUUGUAGGGCUGAGGGCAGAGCACCCCACUGCCCACCACCAGAGCCCCAGGAACCCCCGGGACAGUGUCCUGCUCUUCCUCUGAGGUCCUUUCCCUCACUGCCUCUGUCUCUCUGUGUCUGUUGUCUACUUCCCCUUUCUUUGUCCCUUUCUUCUUUCUUGUCCUGUUCUCUGGCCUUAACUCUCCCGUCAGGCCCUCCUGUCUUUCUGUGUGUCUGUUGCUCUCUGCCCCCCACAUCAUGGCUUCUUCAUACUGUCUCGUACAAGGAGAACCCCCUCUCUCCAUAAACCCACUGGACACUGCAUGACCCCUGCCUGUGUGUGUGUGGUAGGGGGGUGCAUGCACUGAGCACACGGUGUGGCGGGGUGCGUGUGCCCCAGGCGGGAGUGAAGGGCGUGGGUGAGUGUGGAGGAGCUACUGGUUGAGCCUAGGUGGGGUAGGCUGUGAAGGGUCUGGUUGAAGAUGGAGGGAGGGCUGGGGUGAGGGCUUCUGUUGCCCUGGGUGGACCAUAGGGUCAGGCUUUCUCAGCAGAGGCAGCCCUAGCUCUGCCCCUGGGAUCCAGCUUAUUCUAGGAAAAUUUCAAGAGCCAGCCCCACCAUGGCCAGCACAUACAAAACACAUCUUUCCACUCCCCAAGUCCUUGCCCCUGUCCCUGCCAGUUCCUGGAGGCAAGCUAGCAGCCUCAAUCCUGAGGCCAGGGCUGCUCACCUGGCUCGGUGGGAGUUCCUCGCCUGAUGACUCGUCACCUUCUUGAGCAGGGCCAGGAGCAUGCCAGGCUUGCUGACCCUCAGAAAUGGCACCCAGUGGCCCUUUCUGCCAGCUGUCCCCUCUGCACACCUUUCCCCAUUCCAGGAGCUGGCCCAGCUGUUCUGCCCUGCAUUCCCAUCCCAGCUUUUUCUUUCUCAUGAGUCUUUGCAGAGAUCAGGUCUCCCAUGUGGGAAGAUUGCUCUCCCUUUACUCCAUAGGUCAGUCAUCAGUUCCUGUCUGCAACUCACCUCCUCACUCACCUCCUCUUGGAGGCCUUCUUUAGUUACCUGCUCUUCAUCUCAGAUAGCCCAUUCCUCCUUACUCUGCCACACUGCUGGACCCACAGCAGACACUCUACAUGAUAUCCAAGUUUCCUGGCUGAGUGCCAUCCCAGGGAGCUGCCUGGGGCAGGAGGGAGUACUGAUCAACACCCACCACCUGUCAGGCACUCCCCAUGCAUUAUUCACUUUGUUCCCACAAUAGCACCCCGGUGCUAUUAUCCCCAUUGAACAGAUGAGGAAACCGAGGCUCCGAGAGGUCAACUGAUUUGCCUGAGGUCACACAGCAAAAUCUCGAAGCUGACACUGUCGAAAUGAUGUGGGGAUGGCAGGGGCUUCCAGGGCAGCGGGAAACAAACCACCCAAGGGGGUCAGUAUGUCCCAGCUCCAGGGCAUGUUAGGAUGGAAAGUCCAGAUGUUGCUACCAGAGUUUGGAAUGGGGGCAGGAGGACAGAUGAAAUGACCUCUCGAGGGCUUGCCUGGGUUUAGCAUACUCUCUGCCCUUUCUGUGAAGACCCCCCAGCACCACUUUCAGAGGGCUCCCCACUUUGCCUCCCCUGAGGGCAAACACUUAAUAGCUCCCAGGCCCUGCCCAGUUCUCCCCAGACUUACCUCUUGUUCCCCUCCUCAGGACAGGCUCCAGGAUGCCUGGGGAAACCUGGUUCAGGGCAACUCCCUUCUUCCUGCUCCAGUGGACCCCUUACCCUGCUCCCCUCCUUGGAUCACUUAGACUAGGAUACACCCAGAAUUUCUACCAUGGCCCUCCUCUGACUUUGCAGUGUCAGAAGAACCUGGACUCAGACUUCCCACCCCUGGUGACCAUCCAUAGAGCCCAUUCCUUCAUUUCCCUCCUUUUCCCACCCUGUCUCUGCUCCUCUUUCUCUCUUGCCUUUGAUGUACCUACUACAUGCAAAACUGUGCUUGUGUCAGACCCAUGUCCUGAAUCUAUGCUAAGUAGAUCCAUUGACGGCCACCCAAACAAGAACACAAAAUAGGGUAAAGGGGUCCAGGCAGUGCAUUGUGAGAGCUCCAGGGCAACAGCGAGUGCAGGCAGGUGCCAUCUCAGAAGUUUUCCUGGAGAGAUAGCAUUGAACUGAGCCUUGGAGGAUUCUGAUAGGCAGGGAAGGGGGCAUUUGUGGAAGGCAGGCCUGCAGGCUGCUCCCCAGUGUGGACACGCUGGAGGAGUUUUCCCUCUUGGACUGUGAACUGCUGGGCAGGGCCCAUAUCCUCCAACACAGUGCUUUUCAAGCUACCUGAAAGAACGACUAGUUUUUAAAAAAAAAUCCCAAUCUGUCAGCCGGGUGCAGUGGCUCACGCCUGUAAUCCCAGCACUUUGGGAGGCUGAGUCAGGCAGAUCACUUC